rnacentral:rRNA from 1 species
GGAGUUAGCCGGUGCUUCUUCUGCGAGUAACGUCACAGAUGUAAGGUAUUAACUUACACCCUUUCCUCCUCGCUGAAAGUGCUUUACAACCCGAAGGCCUUCUUCACACACGCGGCAUGGCUGCAUCAGGGUUUCCCCCAUUGUGCAAUAUUCCCCACUGCUGCCUCCCGUAGGAGUCUGGGCCGUGUCUCAGUCCCAGUGUGGCUGAUCAUCCUCUCAGACCAGCUAGGGAUCGUCGCCUAGGUGAGCCUUUACCUCACCUACUAGCUAAUCCCACCUGGGCUUAUCCAUCAGCGCAAGGCCCGAAGGUCCCCUGCUUUCCCCCGUAGGGCGUAUGCGGUAUUAGCAGUCGUUUCCAACUGUUAUCCCCACAAAUGGGCAAAUUCCCAGGCAUUACUCACCCGUCCGCCGCUCGUCAUCUUCAAAAGCAAGCUUUUGAAAUGUUACCGNUCGACUUGCAUGUGUUAGGUCGUCGCCGCCACGCGUUACAACUACUGAGACACUAAUACAACUACUGA